AUUGAACGCUGGCGGCAGGCCUAACACAUGCAAGUCGAGCGGUAGCACAGAGAGCUUGCUCUCGGGUGACGAGCGGCGGACGGGUGAGUAAUGUUUGGGAAACUGCCUGAUGGAGGGGGAUAACUACUGGAAACGGUAGCUAAUACCGCAUAACGUCGCAAGACCAAAGUGGGGGACCUUCGGGCCUCAUGCCAUCAGAUGUGCCCCGAUGGGAUUAGCUAGUAGGUGGGGUAACGGCUCACCUAGGCGACGAUCCCUAGCUGGUUUGAGAGGAUGACCCGCCCCCCUGGAACUGAGACACGGUCCCGACUCCUUCGGGAGGCAGCAGUGGGGAAUAUUGCCCAAUGGGCGCAAGCCUGAUGCAGCCCUGCCGCGUGUAUGAAGAAGGCCUUCGGGUUGUAAAGUACUUUCAGCGGGGAGGAAGGCGAUAAGGUUAAUAACCUUGUCGAUUGACGUUACCCGCAGAAGAAGCCCCGGCUAACUCCGUG
rnacentral:rRNA from 1 species